ACAUGACGACGUGAAUCAUCGAAUCUUUGAACGCAAUUUGCACCGGGUGAUGCAUGUCUCCCGGUAUACUUGUUUGAGUAUCUGAAACACUCUCACACCCCCUUCGGGGCGGUUUGGAAAGAUUGAAAUUCUGACGUGAGUGUAUCUCGUCAGUCUUUUAAAAGUUACAUGUCUCGCUUAACCUUCGGGUGGCAAAGGAGCGUCUCUCAUUAGAGAGGUGGUGACUAUUGGGAUAAUAUCCUGACAAUCGUCCCCCUUUCAUCUCCCAACUUGGGAGCAUGAUGAGUAUGACAGCUUCUGAUAGACAUGACGGAAAUGGGUGUGUUGCCGGAAAAGCGCGCAUUCUGAUCCUCGUCUCUUUCAUCGAGUAGACCGUGAUCUGGAUCUCAAAUCAAGUAAGGAUACCCGCUGAACUUAAGCAUAUCAAUAAGCGGAGG
rnacentral:rRNA from 1 species